rnacentral:rRNA from 1 species
UAACACGUGACUAACCUACCUUCGAGUGGGGGGAGUAAACCUCGGGAAAACCGGGGGCUAAUACCGCAUAAUAUCUUCGGGAUGAGAAGCCGAAGAUCAAAGGAGCAAUUCGCUGGAAGAGGGAGUCGCGGCUGAUUAGCUAGUUGGUGAGGUAAAGGCUCACCAAGGCGACGAUCAGUAGCUGGUCUGAGAGGACGACCAGCCACACUGGGACUGAGACACGGCCCAG